UACGUAGGGGGCAAGCGUUGUCCGGAAUCAUUGGGCGUAAAGAGCGUGUAGGCGGCUCGAUAAGUCUGCUGUGAAAGUCCAGGGCUCAACCCUGGAAGGCCGGUGGAAACUGUCGGGCUAGAGUCCGGAAGAGGCGAGUGGAACUCCUGGUGUAGCGGUGGAAUGCGCAGAUAUCAGGAAGAACACCAACGGCGAAGGCAGCUCGCUAGGACGGAACUGACGCUGAGGCGCGAAAGCGUGGGGAGCAAACAGG
rnacentral:rRNA from 1 species